rnacentral:lncRNA from 1 species
GGAGGUUUCUCAAAAAUUCCAACCUAAUAAAGUAAAUAACAAACAUAAAUUUCUUUUGCACCAUUAUUAUAUAAAUAAUUUAGUUAAAAAAAUAUAUUGAUUACAUAAUAUAGGAAAUAAUUAUUUUCACAAAGAUUAUUAUAAAACAAUACAAAACAUAUUAAUUAACUCUACUAAGAAGAAAUUAAUAAGAUAAAUUAUAUUAUUAAUAAGAAUUUUUUUUAAAAUUUGUCUCUGCUCGUGCUUCGAACAUGAAAAGGCUAGUAUCAACUUAUCAUAUAUGUUCAAUCAUCAACAUUCAAUCUCUAGCAUUCAUUAUCGUAACGUAUAUUUUAUGUGCACCGAGGAGCACAACUAAUCAUACGUAAUUUCUUUAAUAGCAUAUUUGACUUCUGCGAUGCAAAACACUCUUUGUUCACUCCUCAGAUCCUAUAAGUAAUAAAGCCUGGAGUAUAUGUUACACAUAUUCUCCAUAUUUUAUUUGUAAUUAUGAUAAGGAUGAGACAUAUUAGGCAAAUAUCUUGUCCGGGUCGACGAUGUCCGUUCUGGCAACAGGUUUUUGUCUGGCCUUAUUGACUUGUUUUUCCACUGCAUUAGGGUUCAGCUACAACCGCAGUGUCGCAUAUGUGGUGUCGCACAUGCAGAUUAAAUAUUUCGAGACCCAUGGACUUGCUUCGACUUGGUGUUAGGUUGCGAGAUAUCCCUUUAUGUCAUGCCUCGCUAGAUGAUAUGCAAAGUGAUGCGGAUUCAUCAAGUUAGUUCUUAUUGCAGCGUGGAUAUACAACUUCAAAUGUGGUUGCCUCUCUAGAUGUGAUUAUUAUUAAUUGCACAAAAGAGAUAGCCACAUUUGAAGUUGUAUAUCCACGCUGCAAUAGGAACUGACUUGAUGAAUCUGCAGCACAUUGCAUAUCUAGCGAGGCAUGACAUAAAGGGAUAUCUCGCAACCUAACGCCAAUUCGAAGCAAGUCCAUGGGUCUCGAAAUAUUCAUCUGCAUGUGGACCUACAAAAAAUGGCGAACUAGCAGAUAUCCUUCACGUACUACAGCACAUAAGCGACACUACAAUUGUAGGUGAACCCUAAUGCAGUGAAAAAACAAGGCAAUAAGGCUAGGCAAAAAACUGUUGCAGAACAGACAUCGUCGAUGCGGACAAGGUAUUUGCCUAAGAUGUCUCAUCCUUAUCAUAAUCACAAAUAAUAUAUGGAGAACGUAUGUGUAACAUAUACUCCAUUCUUUAGUAUUAAUAGAAUCUGAGAAAUGAACAAAGAGUUUCAUGCACCACAGAAGUCAAAUAUGCUAUUAAAGAAAUUAGGUAUAAUGAGUUGGCCCGCUCAGAGCAAAUAACAUAUACAUUACAAUAAUGAAUGCUAGAGAUUGAAUGUUAAUGAUUGAACAUAUAUGAUAAGAUGUUACUAGCUUUUUACCUUUUUGAAGCACUAGCCAAGAUAAAUUAAUUUAAAAUUAUUUUUUUAUUAAUAAUAAAAUUUAUCUUAUUAAUCUCAUAAUAGAGUUUAUUAAAAUAUUUUGUAUUGAUUCAUUAUAAUAUUUGUGAAAAUUAAUAUUUGCUAUAUCAUUUAAUCAAUACAUUUUUUUAACUUAAUUAUUUUAUAUAACGGUGUGAAAUAAAUUUACGUAUGUUAUUUACUUUAUUAGUAGGGAAUUUUUGAGAAACCACGGUGUGAAGAAAUGAGUUACAUAUACUUUUUACUAUUUGCAAUAAUGUUAUAAAACAUUACUAUGACGCGUCCUUGAAUGGUGACUUGGCUUGUAAAUAUUGAUACAUAAAUUGCAGAUUAAAGAGUGUGUGAAGCGUGGGAAGGGGAAGGACGCAACAACUAUGAAAAUAAGAGUGUCUGGAACUCCUACUUUGAUGUAUAGGUUGAACGUGUGGUUUAAUAAAACUCAUCUUAACCCUGACAGAAUUAUGUUGAAGAGUUCAAGAAACUCCAGAAGAAAAUGAUCUGGUCACAAAAUAUUUGGUUCCAGUUCUCUAGCUACUGAACGAGAUGGGGUCAUUGACAAAUGGACUAUACUUUAAUUCUGUGACCACACAACAAAUUAGAGCAUCUUCAUUAAACAAGAUGUAAAGAUUGCAACAAAAUGACAGAAACAAAAAAGUUGAUUUGUGCCAUAAUUCACACUGAAAACAAUGAAGACUUCCACAAACAACAAACUCAUAUAGCAUCCAACAAGUGUCACAUGAUUUAGAAAUUAUAUUGAACAAAUUUAACAUACAAGAAUCUUAGUAAAUAUCCAUUUUAGAGACUUGAAAUAUUGAUAAGUAACUCGUCCAAAGAUUAAGCGCGUAAAGACAAUAAUAAAAAUGAAAGAAAAACACUACUGAACAAAGAUAGUACACAGUGUGAUGGACUAGGAGGGCAAAAAGAUAUAUCACAUAAUUGAGACCCUGAUUUAAUGCUAUAUACGUAACUGCCAGGAGUUUCGGUUACGCGCGUAUAAACUGUAUGCCCAAAAAUAAGUAGGUUUAUGGACAAUUUAUAAAGGAUAAAAUAUUAAUAAUCUGGACAAUUUGAUUAGAUUGAAAUGAAUGGUGUCGAUCUUGGACUUCAAUAGUCUAACAUAAACGUUGACUCCAUACAAUUUUUCUCUAGUUUAUUAAUGUAAUUUUUUAAAGGGUGUUGGUGAUGAACAAUCGAUUAUUAGUUAUAUAUGUCCGACGGAAAAAAAAACGUCGGACGAGAGAAAUCCUAAAAUGAGUCAGGUUUCCGGUGGAUGAAACUGUAGCGCCCUUGGAUAUGCAUAAAAAAAUUAAGAUCAAGUCAUCCUGCGGUUUUUUUUCCGCUCAUAAUAUGCCCGAGAUACGAAUAUUUGGGAAGCAGACCCUUUUUUUAAUAUCUCCAUGAUAAAAAAAGAUUUAGGUUUUUAUUCAAUUUUAAUUUUCUUGUACAUUUAAGUUAUGUUGUCAAAUAGUUUAACAGAGAUUUUAGUUUAGUUCAAUAUUACUUUUCAAUUUGAUAUGGUAAAAAAAUUAUAUAUGUAACAUUUUUGUGAGUUGCUAUAUCCCAACCAACCAAUUAUACCCUAUUUAAGUUACAAUAACAUAAUAUAGAUAUAUGAUAAUAUUAAUUAUGUAAAAUUAAUAUUACAAAGACUUAUAAAAACAAAUUGACAAGAUCGAUACACGCGGAGCAAUAAGAUAUUAAAUAUAUUUGUGGAAGAAAAUACCCAAACUCGUUUCCAAGGGCCUUCAAAUUUCGCUCAUUCCCUUUUCGCUCGGUUUCAUUAUACAGUCUUGCAAAUAGAGUAUUACUCAGUCGCAAAUUGAUUUGAAUGAGUAUGUAUUGCAUAUUUAGUAACGGCAGUUUUUUUGGAGUGAUAUGCACGAGAUACAAUUCUGAUCUUGAGUAAUACGCACGUUGUAUAUACAUAAAUGGUUAUAUGUAUGCGGGACAAUCGACAAUAAUUCUUUUUUAAUAUUAAUAUUGAUUUGUCUAUUUUAAUUAUAGCCACACAAUUUUUUUCUAAUCUGAUGGUGUAACUUGUGGUUCCAAGUAGAAUCCAGCUCAAAAAUAAAUACAUGAAAUCAUUUGUGUAGCCAUAUUUGUAAAUAUUUCUAGCGCAUCAAUUUAAAUAUAAUUAAUGAAAGUAUAAACUUUAAAUAAAAAAAUAUAGACAACUCAUUUUAGAAACAAGAAUUAAAACUGAAAAAACACUCAACUUCUAAAUCUUGGAGGUUUCUCAAAAAUUCCAACCUAAUAAAGUAAAUAACAUACAUAAAUUUCUUUUGCCCCAUUAUAUAAAUAAUUAAGUUAAAAAAAUGUAUUGAUUACAUAAUAUAGGAAAUAGUAAUUUUAACAAAGAUUAUUAUAAAACAAUGCAUAUUAAUUAACUCUACUAAGAAGAAAUUAAUAAGAUAAAUAUUAUUAAUAAGAAAAUAAUUUUAAAAUUUGUCUCGGCUCGUGCUUCGAACAUGUAAAAACCUAGUAACAAGUUAUCAUAUAUGUUCUGUCAUCAACAUUCAAUCCCUAGCAUUCAUUAUCGUAACGUAUAUUUUAUGUGCACUGAGGAGCACAACUAAUCAUACGUAAUUUCUUUAAUAGCAUAUUUGACUUCUGCGAUGCAAAACACUCUUUGUUCACUCCUCAGAUCCUAUAAGUAAUAAAGACUGCAGUAUAUGUUACACAUAUUCUCCAUAUUUUAUUUGUAAUUAUGAUAAGGAUGAGACAUAUUAGGCAAAUAUCUUGUCCGAGUCGACGAUGUCCGUUCUGCAACAGGUUUUUGUCUGGCCUUGUUGCCUUGUUUUUUCACUGCAUUAGGUUCAUCAACAACCGCAGUGUCGCAUAUGUGGUGUAGUACGUGAAGGAUAUCUAUUGCUAGUUCGCCAUUUUUUGUAGGUCCACAUGCAGAUGAAUAUUUCGAGACCCGUGGACUUGCUUCGAAUUGGCGUUUGGUUGCGAGAUAUCCCUUUAUGUCAUGCCUCGCGAGAUGAUAUGCAAAGUGAUGCGGAUUCAUCAAGUGAGUUCUUACUGGAGCAUGGAUAUACAACUUCAAAUGUGGCUGCCUCUCUAGAUGUGAUUAUUAUUAAUUGCACAAAAGAGGCAGCCACAUUUGAAGUUGUAUAUCCAUGUUGCAAUAGGAACUGACUUGAUGAAUCUGCAGCACUUUGCAUAUCAUCUAGCGAGGCAUGACAUAAAGGGAUAUCUCGCAACCAAACGCCAAUUCAAAGCAAGUCCACAGGUCUCGAAAUAUUCAUCUGCAUGUGGACCUACAAAAAAUGGCGAAGAAGCAAUAGAUAUCCUUCACGUACUACACCACAUAUGUGACACUACAAUUGUAGGUGAACCCUAAUGCUAGUGAAAAAACAAGGCAAUAAGGCUAGGCAAAAACCUGUUGCAGAACAAACAUUGUCGAUGCGGACAAGGUAUUUGCCUAAGAUGUCUCAUCCUUAUCAAAAUCACAAAUAAAAUAUGGAGAACGUAUGUGUAACAUAUACUCCAGUCUUUAGUAUUAAUAGAAUCUGAGGAAUGAACAAAGAGUUUCCUGCACCACAGAAAUCAAAUAUGCUAUUAAAAAAAUUAGGUAUAAUUAAUUGGCCCGCUCAGAGCAAAUAACAUAUAUGUUAGUAUGUUACAAUAAUGAAUGCUAGAGAUUGAAUGUUAAUGAUAGAACAUAUAUGAUAAGAUGUUACUAGCUUUUUACCUUUUUGAAAAAACUAGACAAGAUAAAUUAAUUUAAAAUUAUUUUCUUAUUAAUACUACUCACAAAAAAAAAGCGUUAACUAAACCCACUAAAAUCAACAUAUGACCAAAGUAAUACUCGAUUUGCAAGACAGUAUAAUUGAACCAAGAGAGAAGGGUAGGGCUGUAAUUCGAGUCGAGCCGGGCGAGUUUCGAGCCGAGCCUAAUUCGAGCCAAGUUUAAUCGAGUCGAGCCGAGCCGGCUCGAUUAACUAAUCGAGCCUAAAUCUUUGCCCGAACUCGACUCGGUUAAUUUCACGAGUCGAGUCGAGCCGGCUCGUUUAGCUAAACGAGCCGGUUUUAACGAGUCGAGCGAGCGAGCUCGUAUAAUUUUAUACUUAAUCGAGCCCAAACCUCUACUCGAACUCGGCUCGUUUAAUUUCACGAGUCGAGUCGAGCCGGCUCGUUUAGCUAAACGAGCCGGUUUUAACGAGUCGAGCGAGCGAGCUCGUAUAAUUUUAUACUUAAUCGAGCCCAAACCUCUACUCGAACUCGGCUCGUUUAAUUUCACGAGUCGAGUCGAGCCGGCUCGUUUAAUUAAACGAGCCAAAACCUUUGCCCGAACCCGGCUCGUUUAACGAGUCGAGUCGAGCCGAGCCCUCUUAAACGAGUUCGAGCCGGGCGAGCUCGCGAGCCGCCCGACUCGAAUUACAGCUCUAGAGAAGGGCAUUGAGCGAAAUUUGCAGGCCCUUGGAAAUGAGUUUAGGUAUUUUCUUCCACAAAAUAUUUUUAGUAUCUUAUUGUUGUGCAUGUAACCGGUCUUGUCAAUUUAUUUUUAUAAAUCUUAUAUUUUUUAUAUUUAUGUGUUGUAAUGUUCUGCAAUUUGGUUUCUAUUAAUCUAACAUGGUGUUGUUCAUCAAGAAACUGUGAAUUAAGGUUAUAUUGUUUGAAAAUGAAAAGAAAUGUGUAGUUAUACUUGAUAGUAAAACAUGUUUGAAUAGACAUUUUAGCAGUAAACAAACCCUAAGAUCCUUAACCUGACAGGCUUCUUGUUUGUGUACUAUACAUGUUUUCAAGUAUCAUGCUGAGUAUGUCUGUUGAAAUGGAUUUCAAUUUGGUUAUUGUACUUCAGUUUUGAUUUGACUCAUUUUGUUUAUUUUUAAUAUUGAUUAGUAUAAAGUUAUUAUGAUCAUGUUGAUUUAAAAAAGACGAAAUCAUAAUGAUUAUUCACAUGAUGAGUGAGAAAGAUGAUAAUUUAGUUACUCAUAAUUUUUCUAUAAUUUUUCUAGAGGCAGUGGCAAAAAAGGCCAUGCAUCAUUAAAGAGGACAAUACGUGCAUCAAAGAACAAUUAACAAAAAUAUUUCUCGUGGAGGCACAUUGGAGGUGAAGGCCGUAAAUAAAGAGAUAACCAGGGGAGAAUAAGUAUAUCUUACUUGAGUUUUUAUUUUAUUUAUUGCCAAAAUAUUAUGCAUUUCAUUAAAAAGCCUUGAUCCAUGCUGGACAAACCCCAAAUCUCGUAAUAUGAUGAGGUUGACAAACAAAUAAAUGACCUAAAUAACUAGCCGUUUUGUUUCCAGAUCGCUUAAUAAAGAGAAUAAAAAUUAUUCUUUAAACUGAAAAAGAUUACAAUGACUUUCCAAAAAACCCAACCUACACCAUCUCUAAAAUCCGUAACAUCAUAAUUGACCUACACAAAAACAUUUUCAUGUAUAAUCUAGUGUUCAGAACUUUCAUUUGCAACAACUGAAAUUGGAGGGACACAUGCCCUCGUAAUAUGAACAAUCUUCCGCUGUGAAAGGUGAGUUUUUGCGAUUUUUACCACCGACCCAAUCUCGAUGUCGGUUUUCAAGAUCCCCGAAACAGCAAUUGAAUCAUUCUCAAUGACAAAAAUAAACAAAUCAAAAAUACCAAAAACAUACCAACCACGACAAACCCCCCCUCCAUAAGGACAAAAAAAACACGCGAAAAGAUUGGGUAGAACAGUAUUCCUUACACAAGAAAGAUAAUUAUUGAAGGAGAUAUAAAAGUUUUGAUUAUUAGAUUGGAGAAAAGAACAUGAAAGUGAAUUUUUAGGAAAGAAGAGGGCUUAAUUGAUGUAGAAAAAGGGUAAAUUUGAACUUUUUUGAGACGGCUAGCUAGGGUUUGGGGAUCGACACUCAUCGAAAGAGAGAGUUUUUGAGUUGAAUAGUAUUGAUCAAGUAAAGUUAGCUAGCAUUCAUUUUUUUAAAUGGCUAAGAAUGUUGAAUACAACUUUUGAUUUGUUUUUAAAACUGCAGUCCAGUAUGCAAAUAUAGUGGAAGACUGGACAUAGCUAAAGUAGAGCGAGUUGCGAAGAAACGAGUGAAAGUAGAGCAAGUUGCGAAGAAAUGAGUUCCAUAUACUUUUUACUAUUUGCAAUAAUGUUAUUCGACAUCACUAUGACGCGUCCUUGAAAGGUGACUUGGCUUCUAUAAAUUGAUACAUAAAUUGCAGACUGAAGAGUGUGUGACGCGUGGGAGGGGGAAGGACGCAGCAAUUAUAAAAAUAAGAGUGUCUGGAACUCCUACUUUGAUGUAUAGGUUGAACGUGUGGUUUAAUAAAACUCAUCUUAACCCUGACAGUAAUAUGUUGAAGAGUUCAAGAAACUCCAGAAGAAAAUGAUCUGGUCAUAAAAUAUUUGGUUCCAGUUCUCUAGCUACUGAACGAGAUGGGGUCAUUGACAAAAGGACUAUACUUUAAUUCUGAGACCACGCAACAAAUUAGAGCAACUUUCAUUAAACAAGAUAUAAGAUUGCAGCAAAAUGACAAAAACAAAAAAGUUGAUUUGUGCCAUAAUUCACAUUGAAAACAAUGAAACUUCCACAAACAACAAACUCAUAUAGCAUCGUUCAUUAAACAAGAUAUAAAGAUUGCAGCAAAAUGACACAAACAAAAAAGUUGAUUUGUGCCAUAAUUCACAUUGAAAACAAUGAAACUUCCACAAACAACAAACUCAUAUAGCAUCCAACAAGUGUCACAUAAUUCAGAAAAUAUAUUGAACAAAUUUAACAUACAAGAAUCUUAGUAAAUAUCCAUUUUAGAGAGACCUGAAAUUUCAAAUAGUAACUUGUCCAAAGAUUAUAAUUAAUCGAGUAAAGACAAUGAUAAAAAUGAAAGAAAAAAAACUGUUGAACAAAGAUAAUACACAGUGUGAUGGACUAGGAGGGCAAAAAGAUAUAUCACAUAAUUGAGACCCUGAUUUAAUUCUAUUUACGUAACAGGAUAAAAUAUUAAUAAUCUGGACAGUUGGAUUAGAUUGAAAUGAAUGGUGUCGAUCUUGGACUUCAAUACUCUAACAAAUACAUUGGCUCCAUACAAUUUUUCUCUAGUAUAUUAAUGUAUUUUUUAAAGGGUGUUGGUGAUGUACAAUCGAUUAUUAGUUAUAUAUGUCCAAUGGAAAAAAAAACUUCGAACGAGAGAAAUCCUAAAAUGAGUCAGGUUUCCGAUGGAUGACACUGUAGCGCCCUUGGAGAGACACAAAUUAGACAUUCAUGAUAGCCAUUGAAGAACUCUAAUUCUUGGGUUGUUUUCUCUCAUAUUUAUUAUAUAGUUUAUUUAUUUAUUAUAUUAAUUAGUUGAUAACCAUACAUCACCAAAUUCUUCUCCACACUUCUGAAUUGCAAGAGAUAAGAGACUUGAAAUUAGUAUUGAUAUCAAUCCUUCCCUGUGAACGAUACUCUUGAAAAUACUCGACAACAGACAUAAAAUCUUUGGUUCUUAAUAGUUUACAAGUGUUCUUUAAUUGAUCAUGGGAAUCAAAUUUAACAUACAAGAAUCUUAGUAAAUAUCCAUUUUAGAGAGACCUGAAAUUUCAAAUAGUAACUUGUCCAAAGAUUAUAAUUAAUCGAGUAAAGACAAUGAUAAAAAUGAAAGAAAAAAAACUGUUGAACAAAGAUAAUACACAGUGUGAUGGACUAGGAGGGCAAAAAGAUAUAUCACAUAAUUGAGACCCUGAUUUAAUUCUAUUUACGUAACAGGAUAAAAUAUUAAUAAUCUGGACAGUUGGAUUAGAUUGAAAUGAAUGGUGUCGAUCUUGGACUUCAAUACUCUAACAAAUACAUUGGCUCCAUACAAUUUUUCUCUAGUAUAUUAAUGUAUUUUUUAAAGGGUGUUGGUGAUGUACAAUCGAUUAUUAGUUAUAUAUGUCCAAUGGAAAAAAAAACUUCGAACGAGAGAAAUCCUAAAAUGAGUCAGGUUUCCGAUGGAUGACACUGUAGCGCCCUUGGAUAUGCAUAAAAAAUUAAGAUUAAGUCAUCCCGCGGUUUUUUUCCGCUGAUAAUAUGCCUGACAUACGAAUGUUAGGGACACAGACCCUUUUUUUAAUAUCUCCGUGAUAAAAAAGAUUUAGUUUUUUAUUCAAUUUUAAUUUUCUUGUACCUUUAAGUUAUGUUGUCAAAUAUUUUUACAGAGAUUUUAGUUUAGUUAAAUUUUACUUUUCAAUUUGAUAUAGUGAAAAAUUAUAUAUGUCACAUUAUUGUGAGUUGCUAUAUGUGAUAGAGCAUAUAUUUAUAUAUGUUUUUAUAUGAUUUUAUUCCCAUAAUUUUAGUAUUUUGUAAAUAAUCGGGAUGUUACUAAUUGAUUUUAAGUGUUUGCUGGCAGGAUAAUAAGUAUUCCUAAAGUUGGGUUAAAUCAAGCUUAUUUGGGCUUAAUCAGAUUGAAAUUUGUAUUGAUAUCAGUCCUUCCCUGCGAACGAUACUCUUGAAAAUACUCGACAACAAAUUGGCGCCGCUGCCGGGGAAGGCAGCAAUACUAAUUUUAGGUUAAUUGUUUCUUGUGGUUUAGAUUUUAUUGUUGUAUAUUAUUUUUUCCCCUUCUUUUGUUGUUUUUGGUGUGUCUACAGGUUCUUUUAGGUUGACACCAAAAAAAAAGUUGUGAGCUAAAGAGACGAUAUGAAUUACAAUUUUGGUUGGAAUAACGCUCAAAAUUUUCACAAUGAUCAAGAACGAUAUCUAGAUUAUAAUUCUUUUCAGAAUUUUAAUGCAUAUCAGGUGAACUCGUUUGAUUGUUGCAACUCAUAUUACCCUCCAUACCCACCUAACACUGAUUUUUCCUAUGCAUCUGAAAAUCAAUGUUAUGAUCCUUAUCCAUGUUAUGAUGUUGAUAAAAGCUUAAUUCAAUAUAAUCCUUCUUUAAUAUCUUUGGGACUUUUUGCACAUAUUGAUGAACCAAAAUUUGAAGUUGCUAAUAAGACUGACAUAAUUUGUCAAGAUUCGAUAAGUUGGUACGAGGAGAAUGCUAAAAGAAAUACUUUUAUUAUGGAUGUUCAACUUGUGAUGCAUGAUGGUUGUUUUAGGAUUCCUCCUUGUGUAGAUUUUCCACUUUGUCAUGAUACUUAUUUAGCAACUGAUGAAAAUUUAGUGUCUGAUGAAUCUACUUGCUUAGAUGAUAAUUGUUCCAUGCUUAAUACUGAUAAAUUGGAUGCAACUGAAAUUCUACCAGAUUUAGUAGAUAAUGUUGUGCUUAAUGAAUUGGUAGACGAGAUAAAAAUUGAUGAGUAUCCAAUUUUAAUUGAGAAGGAUGUGUUAAUUGAUGAUUUUGCUUUAGAAUAUAAGGAUCCAAUUUGGGUGGAGUUUAUGAGUCGUACUUAUGAUGAUUAUUCUGACGACUUUUCUAGUUACUUUGAUUUUUCGAGGUCUCUUGAGCAAGUGUGGUCCAUACAAAUUUUCCUAUAUGUUUGUGGACCAAAGAUAUAUUUGCACAUCAUAAUUAUAUUAUUGAUUCGUAGAUAUGUGCACUUAUUUGCUUUUUCACCUCAUUAGUUUUGUUACUUGUAUGUGAAUAAGUCGAGCUAAUGACAAUAAACAAGCGCUUCUUGGGAGGCAACCCAUGAUUAUAAUAUUAGGUAGAUUUUGAUUUGUUUUUACUCCCACAAGUUACCUUGAUGUGUUUGUUUGAAGUGGUUGUUACAGGUGCAAAAAUAAAAAAAUUCGCAGCAUUUUUCUGGUUGCAUCAGCUGCAUUGUUUUUGCGUUUCCCGGAGUUCCAACGGUCGGAUCGUCCUGAAUUUUGGGCAGCAUCUUCCUUACACGAAUAUCUAAAUUCUGAACGGUGGAGAUCGGAUUUUAAGGUCCAGAAGGUCAGUUUAUGAAGUCCGGGCAGAAUGAUUGGCACCAUGGGCAUGGUUAAGGUGCCCGCGGUGCAUCGACUUAAAAGCAACACACUUCGCUUAUUUUUCAAACGGCACUUCAUGCGUAUGCAUAGGGGAGUAUUCUUACUUUUCUUUUAUUUAUAGGAGGAGUAUUAGUGCGUCAUUGAGGACAUUGACUCAUUUAAGUGUGGGGAUGUGUUCUCAAUAGUGUGUUAUAUUGAUUAAAAAAACAAAAAAAAAUAAUAAAUUUAAAAAUCAAAAAUAAUUCUAGCCUUGUAAAAUAGUUAGAUGAUCAUAUCAUGCUAGGAUAAACACUCAUACAUUGCAUACAUUAGUUCAUAUAGUUGCAUAACAUGUUUCAUUGCAUAUCAUAACAUAGCAUGAUCCCAUGUAAUAGUCCAAGUUAGUAACCUAUGAUGAUACUAUGUGUAGCUUGUUUUUGAUUAAUUCUUGCUAUGAUCACAUAUUAGCGAUGUUACAUGCGUGGUGUCACUAGUACAGAGCUUAUUUAUUGACACAAGCUUAUUAUGCUCUUAAAUAUUGAAUUGAGACUUAGAUAUACCUGCUUCUUGAGGGAUAGCCGCUUGUUGAUGAUUAGAAUUUUGACUAUUCCCUUUUGAGCUUAGUACGUAAAUGCUUGAGUUUGGGAUGAUUGUGGGGUGUAAAUGUUUUCUUUGAAAAGAAAAAAAAAAGAAAAAAAGCAAAAUAAAGUAUCAAGUACUCCUUUGAGAUCAAUGGGUGGCGAAAAUGAAAGGGACGAACCAUGUACUUGUGCUGGUAUUAAGUGCAAUUGUACUAGAAAUAUAUUUUUCUUGGUGACUUUUCAUUAUUCUUGAUUACUGGAGAAUUACUUGACUUUAAAAAAAAAAGAAAAAAAAGAGCUUGUGAAGUCUGUUGGUGGUCGUAACUCACUUACCCUGAGGAGUGUCCCAAUCUUAGACCGAUCAUGUGGGAAAAAAAAGUAUUAUAUAUAGUAGUAUUAUAGAAAUAAAAAGAAGACGUGGAAAUCCCUUGUAAACUUGAAUGAUAGCUAGUGCUAAGUAACGAAGUGUUUAAGAUUUAUUCUAGUACUCAACUUGGGAGCUAUUAACUCGCAUGACUAGUCAUGUUGAAACUUGUGUGUCUCUGUUCUUGAUUCAAAGAAGAGCAUGUUGUUAAGCUAAGCACACACGCACACUCUGUACUUGUGUUCACUAAGUGGUUUUAUUGCGGUGUGAGCUUGAUGUGUCUAAACUUGUUGCAUAUUCUGAUGGUUAUCACUAACUUGGAAUAUACUAUUAUUAUUGGGAUCCAUACAUAUUCAUUUAUUAGUUGCAUUCAUGUAGUUUCACUCCAUGCUUGUGUUCUUGUGAUCAUCUAUAUUAUUAUUACAUGAGCUAGAUGGAUUUUGUGGGUACAUUCACUAUAGACCCUCACGAGACCUUACUCAUCCACUAGGGCUGCCUAGGGGUUUAAAGGGCUUGUUGCAUAUGCCAAAUGCAACCGUGAUCACCUACGGAAGUGGUAUAUUUAUUAGGUGUUAGUUAAGUUUAUUUUAUUUGCCCGAGGACGUGCAAAAUACUAAGUGUGGGGAUAUUUGAUAGAGCAUAUAUUUAUAUAUGUUUUUAUAUGAUUUUAUUCCCAUAAUUUUAGUAUUUUGUAAAUAAUCGGGAUGUUAGUAAUUGAUUUUAAGUGUUUAAUUUCAGGAAAAUAAAUAUUCCUAAAGUUGGAUUAAAUCAAGCUUAUUUGGGCUUAAUCAGAUGGAAAUUCGGACUUUAUGGAUAGCCAGCGAAGCAAAUCUUGUUUGGGCCGUAACUUGAGUUCUGGAUGUCAGAAUUGGGCGAUUUAACAGCCCACGCGAAGAUAUUGAAAUUCUCUACAAGUUUAAGGUGGUCCAGAUAUCAAAAGGCAACUGGAUCAGUCCAGAAUCAGGCCUGAACAGCAGCCUACGAAUUUGAGCAUCAGAAUCCAACCCGUUUUAGGAUAUUAUUUUAUUUUCUUGUAAAUUAAGAAAACUCUUAUAUAUAUUAGGGUUUGAUAGAGAUUAGAGACAACUAACUUGUAUCAUAUAGAAUAAUAUAGAGAUAGCCUUUUUAGAGAGAAAAGGGAGAGAAACACUUGUGAGAGAGAUUGGAAGAAGGAGUGAAGGGAUUCAUCCGGACGUCAAGCACUUUCGUCAAGUUGUAUUCUUCGUACUUAUAUUCUUACACUCAUGGUCUGUGGUAUAAAUACAUAUUUGUUUCAUCUUAUCAUGAGUAGCUAAUUCCUUAAUCCAAGAGUUAGGUAGUAUUCUUUGGCUUAUUAUGUUUGUUUAGUUGGAUUGUGUUUUCUCUUGAUUUGUUAAUCUGUCAUUGAGCGCUUUAUACAAUUACAGGAGUAGCUAACUUGUGAUUGAAUCUCUAGGAGUUAUAACGAAUCGGGAGAGGAGUUAUAAUUCUAGUACAUGAUAUGAUGGACACAAUUUGAGUAUUAGAUCGGGAGAUUGAUAUGAGAAUUGUGAGACAUAAAAUCCUUGGUUCUUAAUAGUUUACAAGUGUUCUUUGAUUGACCAUGGGAGUGGCUUUUAAUGGAUAAUUGUAGGCAUUAUAAUCUACCUUGGGAGAGGAGUUUAUAAAUAUUAGAAGGAUUGUUUUUAGCAAUCAAGAGACAUAAAUUAGACAUUCAUGAUAGCCAUUGAAGAACUCUAAUUCUUGGGUUGUUUUCUCUCAUAUUUAUUAUAUUUAUUUAUUUAUUAUAUUAAUUAGUUGAUAGAAAAAUCCCCUAAAUUCUUCUCCACACUUCUGAAUUACAAGAGAUAAAAGACUCGAAAUUUGUAUUGAUAUCAGUCCUUCCCUGCGAACGAUACUCUUGAAAAUACUCGACAACAAUAUGCCAACCAACCAGUUAUACCCUAUUUAAGUUACAAUAACAUAAUACAGAAUACCUCAGAAGGAACGAAAUGUGUUUCCAACCCAACUGCAACAAGUUCUUUGCGAUUAAACCUGUCCCCUGUUAAGGCUAAAUAUUCUCCUGCAUACAUUAUAUCCUACCAUCAGUUGUUUGACAGAACACAUUAACAUACAAGUCACUACUUCCAUGAACAUUUCCGGUUAUCUUCAGCAAGGAGCUAUGAGAACUUUUAAAAUGAAUUUUUUUUUUUUAACAUGAUAAAGUUUUGCUACCUGAACUAAAUGAAACUACACAUCCUUGCUGAUUUCUUACCCAGAUGCCCAGGAAGAUGAGAAAGCAUGUAAGACCACACUGUGUGGAACCCAAUACUUGUCUUUGGAUUUCCAAAAACCUGUGUGAAUAAUAAACCAUUUAAGACCCACACUCGUGUAUGAGAUAUGCAUGAAAAAAUCUGUAUUAUCUGGAAAACAUUAUUCAUUUCUAGCAUAAGUGUAUCAACAGUAAGUUAAAAUAAUAGAAGGAUCUUCACAUAAGAGGCAUCCAAAUCAGAUAAAGCAUUUAAAUAUCAACAACUUCUGAAUUUUUCGGCCUCCAAAACUAUCGAAAAUAUUAGUCAAGUAAAUGUAACAAAAAGGUCAAAAUGCAAGAAACAGUUGUUGGAGAACACUGACUGGAUUCAACUUACUAUUACAAUGAAAUUGUAAAUCAUGAUCAGGCCUUAGCUAAUGCUUCUUUAGGUAUUUUGCCCAGUGGCGGAAAGUUCUUAAUAUAGUUCACUGAUCAACAGAAUUUCUUAAUGUCUAUAAUAACCUUGCCGUUUCAUGUUUUAUUAGUUAGAACCUUCCAAACAGUGUCUUCAUUCUCAUCACAUCAGCUAGGAUAAAUAAUAUACUAGCGGAUGAUGCAUAAAUCUCAGGAGACAGUAAGUACCAGAUACAACUUUUUCCGUGACAACUGAGAACAUCAUAGGAACAAUGAAAGAUGCUCCUCCGCCCAUAGAAAUUCCAUUAACAAGAGCAACCUGCCAAAUACUCAUGUACUUAGAGAUCUGCCCGACAAGUACUAUCUGUAACAACGCAAAUGUGAAAUUGUUUUUGCCAUUCAAAUUCUUUUGUCUAUUGUUUUUCAGUAAUUUGAUUGAAAGAUGUGGUCCUUGACCAGUCUUUCAAUAGUUGUUUAACAUGUUUAAAGGAAAAAAAAUUCUCAUUUAUGAUUAGAUAUUUUCUAGAUCCUAAAAGUUUUUGAGAUUGUAUACUUUUAAAUUUUUGUCUGAGAUUUUCUUUAAAAUCUUUAGUAUAUUUUGGAGCAUCUCCAACAGCUUAGCUAUAUGGUGUCCUAAGCUAUUAUAAUAUUAAUAGGGAAUAUGAUACAAAACAUAACUCCAAUAGAGUCCUAGCAAUUCCUUAAAAAGUUAGGAUGCCAACUUUAUUCCUCAUUUUUAAGUAUUGUGAAACCAUUACUCAUACUAUUUUGAUGAAUAAAAUAUUCACUUCUCUCCUUUUUCCAACUCUUUCCUCCUUUCUCUCUCCUUAUUACAAGUUAAAUACAAUGUUAUAAUAAUAACAGGGAAUAUAAAUAAGGAACGCUGUUGGAGUUUCCAAUCAAUAAAAUGCAGUAAUUUCUUUAAAAAAUACAUAUUGUAUUAUAUAUUUUGGGAACCUGUUAGGAUUGGAGAUGCUCUAUAUAUGCUAGUCUAUGACACGUGCCAAGUACGGGAUAAUUCAUAAAUAUUUUAAAUAUUAAUAAUUCAAAACCAACAACUAUAAGUUUUCAAAAUUUAUCUCGAUUGAUAUUGCAAGAGUUGCAGUGUUAAUAUAGGUCGGAAGCUAUCACCGAUGAUUUCCACAGAAUUGGAAAAAAAUACUAAACAUGAUGCUUGAAAACAUGUUUAGUACACAUACAAGAAGCAUGUCAGGUUAAGGAUCUUAGAGUUUGUUUACUGCUAAGAUGUCUAUUCCGCCAUGUUCUACUAUCAAGUGUAACUACACAUUUGUUUUCAUUUUUAAACAAUAUAACCUAAAUUCACAAUUUCUUCAUGCACAACUCCAUGUAAGAUUAAUGGGAACCAAAUAGAAGAAAUUUACAACACAUAAAAUAACAAACCAAAAGACUUACAAAUACAAAUUGACAAUUAAGAUCGAUUACACGUGGAACAAUAAAAUAUUAAUAAUAUUUCUGGAAGAAAAUACCUAAACUCAUUUCCAAGGGCGUGCAAAUUUCUCUCAUUCCCUUCUCACUUGGUUUCAUUAUACAGUCUUGAAUAUAGAGUAUUACUCGGUCGCAAAUUGAUUUGAAUGGGUAUCUAUUGCAUAUUUAGUAACGGCAGUUUUUAUGGAGGGAUAUGCACGACAUACAAUUCUGAUCUUGGGUAAUACGCACGCCGUAUAUACAUAAAUAGUUAUAUAUAUGCCGGACAAUUGACAAUGUUUCUUUUUUAAUAUUAAUAUAUAUUUCUAUUUUAAUUACAGCCACGCGAUAUUAUUCUAAUCUCAUGGUCUAAGUAGUGGUUCCGAGUAGAAUCCAACGCAAAAAUAAAUACAUGAAAUCAUUUGUGCAGCCAUAUUUGUAUCUAUUUCUAGCGCAUCACAUUGAAUAUAAUUAAUGAAAGUAAAAUCUAUAAACAAAAAUAUAGACAACUCAUUUUAGAAACAAGAAUUAAAACUGAAAAAACACUUAACUUCUUAAUACUGGAAGUUUCUCAAAAAUUCUAACCUAAUAAAGUAAAUAAUAUAUAUAAAUUUUUUUUGCACCAUUAUAUAAAUGAUUAAGUUAAAAAUAUGUAUUUAUUAAAUAAUAUAGGAAAUAAUAAUUUUCACGAAGAUUAUCAUAAAACAAUACAAAACAUAUUAAUGAACUCUACUAAGAAGAAAUAAAUAAGAUAAAUUAUAUUAUUGAUAAGAAAAUAAUUUUAAGAUUUGUCUCGGCUCGUGCUUCGAACAUGUAAAAACCUAGUAACAAGUUAUCAUAUAUAUUCUAUCAUGGACAUUCAAUCUCUAGCAUUCAUUAUCGUAACGUAUAUGUUAUUUGCACCGAGCAGCACAACUAAUCAUACGUAAUUUCUUUAAUAGCAUAUUUGACUUGUGCGAUGCAAGAAACUCUUUUUCACUCCUCAGAUCCUAUAAAUGAUAAAGACCAGAGUAUAUGUUACACAUAUUCUCUAUAUUUUAUUUGUAGUUAUGAUAAGGAUGACACAUGUUAGGCAAAUACCUUGUCCGGGUCGACGAUGUCCGUCUGCAACAAAUUUUUGCCGGGCCUUGUUGCAUGAGGGUUCACCUACAACUGCAGUGUCGCAUAUGUG